UGGGCUCGGCUCCGAUCUCUUCACCACAAAGACCGGAUAAAACAAUACCUCAGCAAGAGAGCAACUUUUCUGGAAGUUUUGGCAGACACUCUUUUGACUGGAUGAGUGAAGUGCCAGUUGGCUGAAGAUUUUGUUGCCAUCAGGAUGCUAUCAAGCUCUACUUGAGACCUACUUAAGAUCCAACAGUGCAAAAUGCAAAUUCUUACAAUUUUUUAACUGGUCUGAAGAAUUUGAUCAGGACUGUAUGAAAACUAAAAACCUACCAUUUAAACUGACAGGCUAGGAAAGAAGCGCAUUAAUCGGUAACUAUGGAGCUUUAGCAGAGCUAAAGAGAUCCACAGCUCAGGUGGGAAAUUCUGUUGGCACGACAACUAUUAAUGGUGCACUUUACAAAUUUUGGCUUUGAGCAAAGAGACUCUGAGUGUGCAGUUUACCACCAACCAUGUAGGGGACACAGGAAACAUGUGGAAGCAGGUACAAAAUUUAAGUUCUGGUCCACAUGCAAACACUGAACCUGAACACAGGGGUGGCUGUGUCAUGCUGUGACGAGGCUCCUCUUCAGCAAGGAAAGAUGUCUAGACCUAAUUUUAAUUGGAGAAUCUGUGGCAGUUCAAUCUCCCAGGACCCUUCACCUUGUUGUCCCCCCAGCAGCCUCUCAACACCCUUGAUAAGCUUGUGUCGAUGGCCAUAAGCAUUAAUGCCAAUCUCCUUCAGUUCCUCGUGGCCCAUGUCGACCAACACAUCCAGUGUGAUCUGGAAGAGAUGAACACCACAAUAAGUCCCUGACGCUCCAUCUGCAACCCCAGAUGAUCCAGCGGCGGCAGCAGCAGCUAUCUCAGUCAGGGGCCCAUCUAGGUUGUCUAUGCUGCUGGCUGCUGACAGACAGGAUGGUGUGGAAGCAGGGGAGAUGACCGAAGCGCUGACCACUGUAGCCUGGGGUUUGAAGCAGCUGGGCAAAGCAUCGGGUGGCAUGGCGUCCAUCAAGAGAGCUCUGAUAUCAUCAGCCUACAGCCACAGAACAUUCAAAUGAACGGGAUGGAAAUGUGACAAACCUUGGCUCCAUGUUUCUGCAGAAUCUCCAGGAUGUCAUUGUGAGCUCUCUCAGCAGCAACAUGCAGUGGAGUCAUAAAGCUAAAGCACAAUAACGAGAGGAGGGUGGCAAUGCUUAUUUUAUCAUUUAGAAACUACACCUGCUGAUGUUUUCAAGAUAUUACAUCUUUAAUGUUCAAGAGCCGUCUCGUUGGUUUGAGGAUGUUUGAAGCCGAUGAUCUCCAAAGCCAGAGUCUUCUUCACUUUGGCCAUGUCGGCUUCACGGGCUGCCUGCAGUAGCGAGUGACCUUUGAACUCAUCUGUGUCGAAAAAGAGAGGAUAAACACCCCCCCCAUGCAUGCUGCUGCCUCCACCAUGUUUCAUGCUGAGGAUUCAGGGUAAGGUGCAGUGUUAUUCUUCAACCACGCAGCAUGUUGUAAAGAAGCCAAAAAGCUGAACUUUGGGCUCAUCUGAUCAGAGCACCUUCUUAUACAUGUCUGAACAAAAUACAAUGAAUUUUAAAAACGAAUUUUGAAAUGUGAUAUAAUUUGGAAAGGGUUGAGGGGUAUGAAUACUUUUGCAAGGCUCUGUAAUUUGGCGGGGGGAGGGGGGGGGGGGGGGGGGCUUUCAUGCUGAACAGAAUUUCGAUCUGAUAGCUGGAGUUCACUUCAUGUAAUGUAAUCCUAUUAACUCCUAACUGUAACAGGAUGCAGUAAAGCUGGAGCAGGCAAGCUGAGCUUGAAAAAGAAAGCCUGCGAGAUGAAAAGACCUCAACCCAUAUGGAUUUACUAAGGUCAAGCAACAAAACAAUCCACAUUAGUUUAAGCAAAGCUGUGAUUCUCAACAUUAUAGGCACAAGCUCUCUUUUCCAAAAUCUAGCUCGUAUCAAGCUUACGGUCACGAAAAGACAUCAUUUCAGUUUUGAUGCAGUGAUGUUAACGUCUAACCCAGCAGGGCCAAAUCUAACGUCUCUAGCCAUGGUGGUGGAGUCAAACUGAUGAGGUGUUUGCAGAUCAUUCAAAGUGGGAUGAAACAAUCAAUUAAAAGCUUUUACAAUAAAGGGCAGCAUAGCUUCUGAAUGAUGGGUGAAAUGCAGACUAUUUUUUAUUGCAUACCAACUGAUUCAACAGGGAAUGUGAAGAAGGCACGAAUUUCACAAUGACAAAUCCAUGAUUCGCUUGACAAAAUGCAGAGGCGGGCCCAGAGGCAUGCAUGAGAAGUUGUCAACAAAAAAAUAAAUAAAUUAGAAGCCCAACCAGAUACAGACUGACUGAGUGAUUCAGGGUCGACGAAGUGUGGGUGAAUGUGCAGAGGAUAGAGGACAGACGCCAAAAAGCAGGCAGUGGACAUUUUAAGCUCCUCUCCAGUUUCAAAGACAUGAAAUGUCACCUUGACAACAUCCCAACACAAUCAUAUGUUGCUCGUUCGCUCACUCAUUCACUCGCACACGCACCAGAGGAGCAUCAGGGUGGAUACACGAGUGACCCGCAUACCCAGGUCAAUGAUGUGUGCAAUUAACAAGUGACAGCCAGCUUAUUGGUCAAAUAAAAAAUGAUGGAUUAAAAAGAAAUAAAACAAAAAAUAAAGAUCACAACAGUGCAUCAAUCAAGUGGCCA